CCUACGGGUGGCAGCAGUGAGGAAUAUUGGUCAAUGAGCGAGAGCCUGAACCAGCCAAGUCGCGUGAGGGAAGACGGUCCUAUGGAUUGUAAACCUCUUUUGCCGGGGAGCAAAAAGCGUUACGUGUACCGCUUCGCGAGUACCCGGAGAAAAAGCAUCGGCUAAUUCCGUGCCAGCAGCCGCGGUAAUACGGAGGAUGCGAGCGUUAUCCGGAUUUAUUGGGUUUAAAGGGUGCGUAGGCGGCGUGUUAAGUGAGCGGUAAAAUUUCGGGGCUCAACCCCGCCAAGCCGGGGAAACUGGCUUGCUAGAGUGGGCGAGAAGUAUGCGGAAUGCGUGGUGUAGCGGUGAAAUGCAUAGAUAUCACGAAGAACUCCGAUUGCGAAGGCAGCAUACCGGCGCCCAACUGACGCUCAGGCACGAAAGCGUGGGUAUCGAACAGGAUUAGAUACCCCUGUAGUC
rnacentral:rRNA from 1 species